CAGGAUCAGGACGGACGACUACGGGGGAGACACGCGCGCCUGGGUGCACGGGUCGUUUGUUCGCCUCCGCAUCGCGCCCCGGUGGCCCCCGGGGGGACCAGAGGUGCCCAGUGACGCCGAACUGCAGGCGGCGUAUUAUAGAUACCUGCACCUCUGAGGACAAUAAUAGCAGAGCAGAGUCACUCUCGUCGCUUGUGACGAUAUGGUGAAUGAUGGUGAUGGUGAUGAUGAUGGCGAUGGUGAUGGUGAUGGUGAUGGCCAUGUCUGCACUUCAGAAUGGAUUUGCCAACUCCUGGGUUCGUUCUUCUAUGAAUUAGAUUACGUUUAGCGGAAUAUCCGAGAGUGUUCAUUUGAAACUGAUUGUUGCAGUUAGGUUUACGGUGUGCGAUUAUCAGAGAAAAUUUCGCUCUUCGACGCAAGGGUCGCAGUCUUUUUGCCCGUGCGCAAUCUUGAAAAUUUUUGUGAAGUAGCAGGAAAAAUCUUGCAAAGACGUUGUGGAGAUGAAUAUUAAACAACAAUUAGAUAAUCAUGUUGAUAUAAAUCUUUUGUAA